rnacentral:sRNA from 1 species
GCCUAGCCCCGAUUGCAAUGGAAAUCCUUUUGCUUUUCUUUCACAUAAGGAAAAGCAAAAGAUUGUAAUGGAAAGCGGGAUUAAGC